rnacentral:rRNA from 1 species
AUUGAACGCUGGCGGAAUGCUUUACACAUGCAAGUCGAACGGCAGCACGGGUGCUUGCACCUGGUGGCGAGUGGCGAACGGGUGAGUAAUGUAUCGGAACGUAUCCAAUAAUGGGGGAUAACUAAUCGAAAGGUUAGCUAAUACCGCAUACGCCCUACGGGGGAAAGCAGGGGAUCUUCGGACCUUGCGUUAAUGGAGCGGCCGAUAUCUGAUUAGCUAGUUGGUGAGGUAAAGGCUCACCAAGGCUUCGAUCAGUAGCUGGUCUGAGAGGACGACCAGCCACACUGGAACUGAGACACGGCCCAGACUCCUACGGGAGGCAGCAGUGGGGAAUUUUGGACAAUGGGGGCAACCCUGAUCCAGCCAUUCCGCGUGAGUGAAGAAGGCCUUCGGGUUGUAAAGCUCUUUCGCAAGGGAAGAAACGAUACAGUCGAAUAAACUGUGUUAAUGACGGUACCUUGAUAAGAAGCACCGGCUAACUACGUGCCAGCAGCCGCCGUAA